AAAAAAUACAAAGUUUGUGCGAAAAAACAUAAAACCAAAUGGAUUAUAAUGCAUAUCAACCUCAUACCGGGAAACUACGCCAUCGCACGAGCAGAUGUGGUAGAACAGCGAAAAAACGGUUGCCAAGGAACAUGCAGCAACAUCGAAAUCUGUGAAGAGUCAUUGGUGGAAG